UCCUCGCUCAAAGAAUCGCAUUCAAAGCUUACACACGAAGAAGCUUGCUUCUUCUACAUCUUGCUUUGGGAGAAAGUCCCCGGACACCCUGCGCUUUGGUUCGCCGAAGUUGUCCAAGCCAGGCAAUGCGGAAACGCGCCGCCAUAGAAGCAAUUCGAUAGCGGCUUACUGCCCUACUCCCUCCCGGCUCCGCGCACCAUCCGACGGCCUCGCCGGUCACAAUGGGGUGUGUGUUCGGGGUCGGAGAGGGGAAGGAGGACCUCGUGUCUUCCUUGUAUUGGGUUGCCUUUCGUCGUGGUUCGAUAGUCAUGCGAUUGCCUUUCAUUCUUUAUUGAAUGGGGUAACUCAAUGGGGCUCAUUCUUGAGGCGAGG
rnacentral:RNase_MRP_RNA from 1 species